rnacentral:rRNA from 1 species
GAAUGCUGACAUAAGUAACGAUAAAGCGGGUGAAAAGCCCGCUCGCCGGAAGACCAAGGGUUCCUGUCCAACGUUAAUCGGGGCAGGGUGAGUCGACCCCUAAGGCGAGGCCGAAAGGCGUAGUCGAUGGGAAACGGGUUAAUAUUCCCGUACUUGGUGUUACUGCGAAGGGGGGACGGAGAAGGCUAUGUUGGCCGGGCGACGGUUGUCCCGGUUUAAGCGUGUAGGUGUGUGUUCCAGGUAAAUCCGGUUCACUUUAACACUGAGGCGUGACGACGAGGCACUACGGUGCUGAAGCAACAAAUGCCCUGCUUCCAGGAAAAGCCUCUAAGCAUCAGGUAACAUCAAAUCGUACCCCAAACCGACACAGGUGGUCAGGUAGAGAAUACCAAGGCGCUUGAGAGAACUCGGGUGAAGGAACUAGGCAAAAUGGUGCCGUAACUUCGGGAGAAGGCACGCUGACACGUAGGUGAAGUGAUUUACUCAUGGAGCUGAAGUCAGUCGAAGAUACCAGCUGGCUGCAACUGUUUAUUAAAAACACAGCACUGUGCAAACACGAAAGUGGACGUAUACGGUGUGACGCCUGCCCGGUGCCGGAAGGUUAAUUGAUGGGGUCAGCGCAAGCGAAGCUCCUGAUCGAAGCCCCGGUAAACGGCGGCCGUAACUAUAACGGUCCUAAGGUAGCGAAAUUCCUUGUCGGGUAAGUUCCGACCUGCACGAAUGGCGUAAUGAUGGCCAGGCUGUCUCCACCCGAGACUCAGUGAAAUUGAACUCGCUGUGAAGAUGCAGUGUACCCGCGGCAAGACGGAAAGACCCCGUGAACCUUUACUAUAGCUUGACACUGAACAUUGAGCCUUGAUGUGUAGGAUAGGUGGGAGGCUUUGAAGUGUGGACGCCAGUCUGCAUGGAGCCGACCUUGAAAUACCACCCUUUAAUGUUUGAUGUUCUAACGUGGACCCGUAAUCCGGGUUGCGGACAGUGUCUGGUGGGUAGUUUGACUGGGGCGGUCUCCUCCUAAAGAGUAACGGAGGAGCACGAAGGUUGGCUAAUCCUGGUCGGACAUCAGGAGGUUAGUGCAAUGGCAUAAGCCAGCUUGACUGCGAGCGUGACGGCGCGAGCAGGUGCGAAAGCAGGUCAUAGUGAUCCGGUGGUUCUGAAUGGAAGGGCCAUCGCUCAACGGAUAAAAGGUACUCCGGGGAUAACAGGCUGAUACCGCCCAAGAGUUCAUAUCGACGGCGGUGUUUGGCACCUCGAUGUCGGCUCAUCACAUCCUGGGGCUGAAGUAGGUCCCAAGGGUAUGGCUGUUCGCCAUUUAAAGUGGUACGCGAGCUGGGUUUAGAACGUCGUGAGACAGUUCGGUCCCUAUCUGCCGUGGGCGCUGGAGAACUGAGGGGGGCUGCUCCUAGUACGAGAGGACCGGAGUGGACGCAUCACUGGUGUUCGGGUUGUCAUGCCAAUGGCACUGCCCGGUAGCUAAAUGCGGAAGAGAUAAGUGCUGAAAGCAUCUAAGCACGAAACUUGCCCCGAGAUGAGUUCUCCCUGAGACUUAGAGUCUCCUGAAGGAACGUUGAAGACGACGACGUUGA